AUAUGCAGUUCUUGGAUGGAGUGAUAAUCCGUUGACUGUUACUUGUUUGUUUAGUUUUGAGAAGUUUAAUCUCUCCGAAAAAUUCGCUCAGAAGGCCUAUAGCUCAGCUGGCAGGAGCACACCCUGGAUAAGUGUUAGGUAAAAAUUUCGAGUCCAUUUAGGCCCACCAUCUCAUAAUGGGGCCUUAGGUCAGGUGGGAGAGCGCUUUCCUUGCACGCAGGCGGUCAAAGGUUCGAUCCCGCUAGGCUCCACCAAGUUAAUUUCACGAUAGUGAAAAUAACUUUCCUUGUUCCUUGAAAACUAGAUAAUCGUAAGAAGAAGAAACCAAGUAAAAACCGAGUGAAUCAGGCAUUUUAGUUUUUCUCUCUUAUUAAAUAAGAGAAUAACCAU
rnacentral:misc_RNA from 1 species